rnacentral:rRNA from 1 species
GAUGAACGCUGGCGGCGUGCCUAAUACAUGCAAGUCGAGCGAACAGAUGAGGAGCUUGCUCCUCUGACGUUAGCGGCGGACGGGUGAGUAACACGUGGAUAACCUACCUAUAAGACUGGGAUAACUUCGGGAAACCGGAGCUAAUACCGGAUAAUAUAUUGAACCGCAUGGUUCAAUAGUGAAAGACGGUUUUGCUGUCACUUAUAGAUGGAUCCGCGCCGCAUUAGCUAGUUGGUAAGGUAACGGCUUACCAAGGCAACGAUGCGUAGCCGACCUGAGAGGGUGUUCGGCCACACUGGAACUGAGACACGGUCCAGACUCCUACGGGAGGCAGCAGUAGGGAAUCUUCCGCAAUGGGCGAAAGCCUGACGGAGCAACGCCGCGUGAGUGAUGAAGGUCUUCGGAUCGUAAAACUCUGUUAUUAGGGAAGAACAAAUGUGUAAGUAACUAUGCACGUCUUGACGGUACCUAAUCAGAAAGCCACGGCUAACUACGUG